AGGGACGCCAGACAGCACACCGGGGCCAACGCCAAGACGGCCGAGAGAAGCGUACCUCUCCAGAUUGAAAAGAGCAACAUGAGGAGGCAGCUCCUCCGCGUCGCGAAAACCGGGCCCGCCGAAAGUGGGCGGAACAGCGCCCUGCCUUGCCCCUCCCGCUUCAGAAGUGUCGAAGACGAUGUGCAUGAGGCAGGUCACAAACGACUUGGGGUGACGCAUCCCGAGAACAAUGCAUGCUUCGAGAUCUCUGAGAAGACGGGCAUCACCAGAGAGGCGCAGCAGACAGGAGGAGCAGAGAUCGAGGUUUCGUAAGAAAGAGUGACUAUGACCUCUAUUGCGGCUGCACCAGCUGGAGGCGAGAGCCAGCGUUCUCAGCGUCUAGAGUCUGACCCAAAUCACCAAACACGUGAUGGGAUGGAGAAAAGACGAAGCGACUCCAACAGGACAUAGGGGACACAGGAAGAGGCCACCUCGCCUGGGAGUGCGUUGAGAACAGGCGCACCAAAAACAGAGAAACAGGAAGCGCGACGGAGAGAAAGAAGAAUCGGGACGGAAGAUGCGCUGGUGGACAGACGCCUGUUGGCUGAAUGGGUAGAGGCCCAAAGAGGCCGACCGGUAGGCAGGAGGAUUGCUGGAUGGCUAGGAGUUUGGAUGUGCCGGUACACAGACUGAUAGAUCCCGUACGCGUUUACCUAGAUGCGCCAGUCGCAGAUGGGCACAUGCGAAGAGUGGAAUGUGUGCAACGACAUACAUACACCACUUGGAUGUGUGUACUUGGGACAAGAGGACCGAGCCGGCGUUAGACUGGGCCAUGGGUGGAGAGAGCGGUUUUGCUCAGGAGAAUUCCCGAAUCUUCUUACCGUUCAAAUGUGUCGCCGGAGAACAGGAACUUGGUAGCGGGAGUGAGAGGCAAGGACGGAUCCGCAGUGCCGUCGGCCGCCUGUCUCAUGUAGAUCUCAAUGCCUUUCACUUUGUUUAGUCCUCGGAGAUUCUUGCCUGCACGGGGAGGCAACCCGGGAAGCAGAGGCAGGUUUUUUUGCCGCGACACCAGAUGCAUUUGGGCGGCAGCGUCGCCAAGAACCAGUGACCCGGCAGUAUGUCAUUCUUGUGUUAACAGUGGUACUCCUGAAGGCGUCUACACUGCCUAUCUUCCACUCUGUAUGUAUACAUCCGCUUGAUGCACCAAACGGGCGUGCACCGACACUGGAUACCAGCACACACGCGCAUGCGUAUCCUGUUGUGUGGCGCACCAAGAGACAGUUUUUGGGGACACUUGCAGGUUUGGCAACUACUUCGAGUCUCCUGGAGCUUGGCCUACCUCGUAACGCGGUGAGGAUUGGUUGAGGGUUUUCCAUCACAAGGUCGUUUUGUGCGACCUGACGACUUCGAGUUAUCAUCGCGACUCCGUAAUCAUAGAGUCUGGCCAUCUGCGCAUACAGAGACUUGGGUCGGAAUAUGGGCCUCAAGAGUUUCAGGGACAGGCGCGCAGUGAGCAUAAUCAGAGGGAGAACCCGAGACGGCUCUUUCGCAAGCGGCGGCUCCGCCUCCUGAGGCGCAAGAAAGGGGGACAAAGGCGACUCUGUUCCAGUCGAAGCGGUCGACGGGGUAGGUGAAGACAGGGGUUCUGGAGAAGGCAACGCCUUGUCCCCGUGCUUGCCGGAUCCCAGAGUCAGCAAAUAGUACAGUGGUCCCAUCCCAGGGUACCCUGUGCCCCUGCUGUAGCUCGUGUCGGCACCUCCGAGGUAGGCGGCGGGUCUCCGAACUCGCCAGCCUCCUGAGGAGAUGAACGUGUCAUCGACGUCUGUGGCGAGGACGAGGUUAUUCCCAGAGAUUUGCCCAGCAACGCGAAGGUCGAAGGGCCGAUUCAUCGACGGAAGAUCGUGAAGCAGAGAGAACAAAUAGGGGCCGUAUGACCGAGGGAGGCGCAGGUGAGUCAAAGCAUCCACUCUCCAGCUCGACGCGGGCUGGACCUGGCGAAUGGUGACUGCGGAAAAAAGCAGACACAGAGGGGAGAUGAGAAAUAGAGGCGAAGAAGGCCAUGAAGUGAAGAUCGCACGCAACCAGGGAAAUCGGGACGCGAGAAACUGAGGGCGACGGAACGGGAGAGAGACUCGCGGGAGAAAGUGACUGCAGAAGCCUUCUCAUGUGUCGUCGCGUAAUAUGCCGAGAACAUGGCUGGCGGGCGCACGCGCGUACCACAGCGGAAGAAG
rnacentral:lncRNA from 1 species